AUCAUGUUUCCCUGACAAAUAAGAACUGUGUUCUUGGAGAACAGAGACCAGACUGCAGUCCCAGCGCUCUGCUUCCACCCGGCCCAGAUCACUUCACCCUGAGAUUUCCCACUAGCUUUUCUGAAGGAGCAAUCAUUUCUUACUUCCCAACGAAUUGCAUUUUUAUUUAAAGCUAUAAAUAAAUAUUAUUAUACCCUCUAUUUACCAGGUAUAUAUGUGCCAUAUCCAGCUGUGGCAAUUGUUCAUAGUUCAAUUCCUUUGCAUUAGCUGACUCUGUAAAAGUUAUGGUGUAGGCAGCUUCUCUUUAACCAACUCUUUCUCUUUCAUCACUGAUUGACUUCUGUGACACCCUGAUGACAUAGUCUGCUAUUGGAUCCAGGUUUUUACAUUCCCACCUCCAGACUUCACCCAUCUACUGUGUGCUUUUCCAUCCUCUAUGGGGCUCUAGAAUUGCUGAUUUGAAGCCCUCUCUCCAUAAAACUUCUGCUCGUGCUGACCUCUCCAUUCAGAACCUAGCUCUCAAACAGAUGAGGAAAUUAAAGUCUGUUAACAAAUGAGAGAAUGGAAGCCUGCUGGAUGUAAUGAUAUGGACUGUCUGGAGACAAUUUCUCAUAUCUAAAGAUUUCAGCAGUCAUCAGAGAAUUGGAAAGUGGAAAGUUCCAGAAAUAAACAACUGCACGCUGUUCUCAAUAGUGGAGUAAAAUCUUACACUGUCCUGCUGUCUCCUCAGGAAGUGGAUCAUCCUUUUGUCCAAUGUAUCCAUGCUGUAUAUGCUACUUGCCCUUUACUCACUUAGCCAUCUUGGUUAUCAGUUCCACUGCUGCAAUAUCUCACAGUGCUUGUUUUCAAGUAAACUUUAUUUUACUUGAACAAAGUGCAACAGUAGUGAUGCUAAUAAUUUGGAUGUGUCAAAGAGAGGCCACAGGGAAAUUCCCUGAAGGGAAAAAAGUGAAAGUUCUCUAUUUAAUAAGGAAAGAAAAAGGUUGUAUGCUGAGGAUGCUAAGAUCUAUGGUAAGAACAAAUCUUCUAUUAAAUUGUGAAGAAUGAAGAAGAAUUUCACGCUAGUUUUGCUAUCAUAACACAAACUGAAAAAGUUAUAGCCAUGGUACAUGAUAAACACUGAGUUGAGAUGGAAAAGACAUUAAAAUUGUGUCUGCAUAUAUAGGAAAAACCAGAAUGUACAGGGUUUGAUACUAUCCAGUUUUCGGCAUUCACUGAAUGGCUUAGAAUGUAUCUCUUGUGGAUACUGGGUGGGGUAGGGGAGAACUAUUGUGCUUAUUUAGUCACCAAUAAAUUUGACCUGAGUGUCUUCUGUCAGUCAAUAAA